AUACGGAGGGUGCAAGCGUUGUUCGGAAUCACUGGGCGUAAAGGGUGCGUAGGCGGCUGUGUAAGUCGGGUGUGAAAGCCCAGGGCUCAACCCUGGAACUGCGCCCGAAACUACACGGCUUGAGUCCGGAAGAGGGUUGCGGAAUUACCGGUGUAGAGGUGAAAUUCGUAGAUAUCGGUAAGAACAUCUGCGGCGAAGGCGGCAACCUGGUUCGAGACUGACGCUGAGGUACGAAAGCGUGGGGAGCAAACAGGAUUAGAAACCCGAGUAGUCC
rnacentral:rRNA from 1 species